GACGAACGCUGGCGGCGUGCUUAACACAUGCAAGUCGAACGGAAAGGCCCUGCUUUUGUGGGGUGCUCGAGUGGCGAACGGGUGAGUAACACGUGAGUAACCUGCCCUUGACUUUGGGAUAACUUCAGGAAACUGGGGCUAAUACCGGAUAGGAGCUCCUGCUGCAUGGUGGGGGUUGGAAAGUUUCGGCGGUUGGGGAUGGACUCGCGGCUUAUCAGCUUGUUGGUGGGGUAGUGGCUUACCAAGGCUUUGACGGGUAGCCGGCCUGAGAGGGUGACCGGCAAGAUGGGGAUGGAGAGAGGCCCGGAACCCACGCGGGGGGGAGGAGGGGGGAAUGUGGAACAAGGGGCGGACGCCUGAUGCAGCACCCCCGGGUGGGGGAGGGCGGCUUUCGUUUUGGACCCCGUUUUCGCUUGACAGGAAGGGUGAGGAAGGGAAAGGGGAAAAGAGCCACCGGUAACCUAGGU
rnacentral:rRNA from 1 species